rnacentral:rRNA from 1 species
UACGUAGGGUGCAAGCGUUGUCCGGAAUUAUUGGGCGUAAAGAGCGUGUAGGCGGCCCGAUUAGUCCGCUGUGAAAGUCCAGGGCUCAACCCUGGAAUGCCGGUGGAUACUGUCGGGCUAGAGUCCGGAAGGGGCGAGUGGAAUUCCCGGUGUAGCGGUGAAAUGCGCAGAUAUCGGGAGGAACACCGGUGGCGAAGGCGGCUCACUGGGGCUUUUCUGACGCUGAGGAACGAAAGCCAGGGUAGCGAACGGG